rnacentral:tRNA from 1 species
GGUGUAGUAGCUCAGUGGUAGAGUGUAUAUUUAGAAUGUGGAAGGCCCUGAGUUCAGUCCCCAGCAACAACA